rnacentral:rRNA from 1 species
GACGAACGCUGGCGGCGUGCUUAACACAUGCAAGUCGAACGGUAAGGCCCUUCGGGUACGACGAGUGGCGAACGGGUGAGUAACACGUGGGUGAUCUGCCCUGCACUUCGGGAUAAGCCUGGGAAACUGGGUCUAAUACCGGAUAGGACUCCUGGCUUCAUGGUUGGGGGUGUAAAGCUUUUGCGGUGUGGGAUGGGCCCGCGGCCUAUCAGCUUGUUGGUGGGGUAAUGGCCUACCAAGGCGACGACGGGUAGCCGGCCUGAGAGGGUGACCGGCCACACUGGGACUGAGAUACGGCCCAGACUCCUACGGGAGGCAGCAGUGGGGAAUAUUGCACAAUGGGCGCAAGCCUGAUGCAGCGACGCCGCGUGAGGGAUGACGGCCUUCGGUUGUAAACCUCUUCAAUAGGACGAAGCGCAAGUGACGGUACCUAUAGAAGAAGGACCGGCCAACUAACGUGCCAGCAGCCGCGGUAAU